rnacentral:sRNA from 2 species
CUGCCAAUCUACCCACCGCUGCCAACCUACCUACCGCUGCCAAUCUACCUACCGCUGCCAAUCUAUCUAUCACUGCUAAUCUAUCGCUGCUAAUCUAUCGCUGCUAAUCUAUCGCCGCCAACCUACCUACCGCUGCCAACCUAUCUAUCGCUGCUAAUCUAUCACUGCUAAUCUAUCGCUGCUAAUCUACCGCUGCCAACCUACCUACCACUGCCAACCUAUCUAUCGCUGCUAAUCUAUCACUGCUAAUCUAUCACUGCCAAUCUAUUGCUGCUAAUCUAUCGCUGCUAAUCUACCGCUGCCAACCUACCUACCGCUGCCAACCUAUCUAUCGCUGCCAAUCUACCUACCGCUGCCAAUCUAUCUAUCACUGCUAAUCUAUCGCUGCUAAUCUAUCGCUGCUAAUCUACCGCUGCCAACCUACCUACCACUGCCAACCUAUCUAUCACUGCUAAUCUAUCACUGCUAAUCUAUCGCUGCUAAUCUAUCGCUGCUAAUCUACCGCUGCCAACCUACCUACCACUGCCAACCUAUCUAUCGCUGCUAAUCUAUCGCUGCUAAUCUACCGCUGCCAACCUACCUACCACUGCCAAUCUAUCUAUCGCUGCUAAUCUAUCGCUGCUAAUCUAUCGCUGCUAAUCUAUCGCUGCUAAUCUAUUGCUGCUAAUCUAUCACUGCCAACCUACCUACCGCUGCCAACCUACCUACCGCUGCCAACCUAUCUAUCGCUGCCAACCUAUAUAGGGUAAAUCAUGGUCCCAUUUGGUCCCAUUUUGUAAAAUGAGACCAAAUGGGACCAGGAUCACUAAUUUAUUAGUAAAACAUGAUCUGAGACUAGAUUUAUAAUAUAAACAGUGUAAAGUGACUAAUUUGCUAAACACUAUAUGAGACCAGAACUAAGAUAUCUAAUAAUGGAACUGAGGAAAAAUUUGGUCCCAGUUCCAUACAUGAUCACAUGGCCAGUCUACUUCUAUAUUUUGAUAAUCAGAUGCAGUAGAUUUUAUAUCUUUUAAUAAAAGUAUUUUAUCUUCAUAUAUUAUACUGUCUCUUUUCACAAGCUC